CCCUUAGAUGUUCUGGGCCGCACGCGUGCUACACUGAUGCAUUCAACGAGCCUAUCCUUGACCGACAGGUCCGGGUAAUCUUUGAAUCUGCAUCGUGACGGGGAUAGAUUAUUGCAAUUAUUAAUCUUCAACGAGGAAUGCCUAGUAGGCGCAAGUCAUCAGCUUGCGUCGAUUACGUCCCUGCCCUUUGUACACACCGCCCGUCGUUCCUACCGAUUGGGUGUGCUGGUGAAAUGUUCGGAUCGGCCGUUUGUCGCGGUUUCCGCGUCAUGUGGCUGAGAAGUUCAUUAAACCCUCCCACCUAGAGGAAGGAGAAGUCGUAACA
rnacentral:rRNA from 1 species